CGGGCAGCCUGAUGCUCAUUCUCGUCCUCGUCCUCGUACUCACCCUGGUGCUCAUCCUCUGAAGCCACAAGAACACUCAGACGAGUCAAGGAGCAGGAGAAGCUGCGCUACCCAGACACUACGCCACAUAACCCAGCCGAUCCCAUACCCCUUCCACGUCUAGCUGGCCAAGAUUAAUGGGCGAGUUGCGUUCUGCUGCGGCGACUUAUGGAAAUUCAUCAUUAUCUCGCAGCCAGCAGCUCUUCGGCUACAACUGGCUGGUUUAAUGAGUUCCCGAGCGAUGUUCAAUCCAACUCAUUAGCUGCACUUUUCCUGCUAGCCAAAAAGUGCAAAUGUGUCUCCUGGAUACUGUACUGUAUAUAUAUUAUAUAUAUAUGUAAAUCCACUGUAUAUGGACAUGGUUUGCGGACUCGUGUGCGUAUUUGUCAUUGUCAACAUGGCUGUAGAACAUCGGAAUCGGAGGAGCUGGUGGACUGGGACUGGGCGUUGGGAGAUGGGAGUUGGGAAGCAGCUGCUCGGGCUUUCGGGCAGACUAGCAAAUUGUGUGGAUUCUGAUGGCCGCUUUCCAGGGCAGUUUUCCUAAUCCGGGGACUUGGCACGCGCUCCGAAAACUUUAAGCCAUAAAUCACGGCGCUUGCCAAACAAACAAGACCGCAACCGCAGACGGGCAAACAAAAAUCGGAAAGGAGAAAAAAAAACGAAGUCCAAAGGACGAAGAAUGAAUCCUUGGCUGGUCCACGGUCCACAUCCACCUUUGAUAAAUUCAAGAGCACGCACUUUUGAUUUAGGCAAAUCCCCACUCGGAUAUGUGAGACUAUAUCAUGCAUUGGCAGAAGUCAGCGGUUCGGAUUGGAGUUGGGGUUGGUGCGAAAGAAAUCUCCAUAAUAUAUGCCGGAACAUAUUCCGUACACAAAUUGCAGCCAGCAAGGAGACCGGAUACGGAUUCCUGACCAGUCCGGAUUCUGCUUCACAGGAUUGCAAUAUUAUAAUUCAAAUUUAUGCAGCCACCAAGGAACCCUUUUCACACGCACUUUCUUAUCGACAGCGAGCGAUUGGGUGGCUUGGGUGGAGAAGUGUAGGAGUGGAAGGUUGGGUAGAGGUGGAAAAGGACAUUCACUUUCUGGCAAAUGGAAAACGAGAAGACUGGCGGCGGAAACGGAAAUGAAGCCAAACGGAACAAGAAAAACAAAUUUACAAAAUGAAAAUGCCAAACACUCACGAUGGCGGGGGGGCUGCGGGUGGAAAAGCCAGCAUCCCCACGGUAUUCGUUUGGCGAUUUGCCUGUCACAGGGUUCGCAGAAUCCUCCACUUCCUUCUCGCUGCCCAAACUCCAAUUCUCCUAACUCACCAAAUAUCGUUGCUGUCGCCGUGGCUGCCACUUGUUUUAUUUAUUGCUUUUUUAACCCUUUUUUUUUGGGACUCGACUCGAAUCGCCGCCGCUUGUUAUUCUGGAUUUCCCCCCCGUCCUGACCAAAUGAAAUCGAACCGGCCCAUUCCAUUUCGCUCACUUGGGGGGCGAAAAAGUUUCCCUUUUGCAGCACGCAAACUGCAGUCGAACGGCCGCUUAAUGAAGUUGCCUCCAAGUUCAUUCGAAAUGCAUCGAUUUCCUGGCCUCCGCUUUUAUCCUAAUGAAAAGAAAGUGAACUCGGCAUCUGGGAAAUUUGCAUAAGCCUAGUAGCAUUUAGGCAAUCGGAUAAAGGUCAAUUGGAUAGCUGGCAUAGGAGCUUAGAAACAGUUCUCUAGUUUCUCUUUUGUUCUAACUCUAGCUCUAAAUGAAAUCUGAGAAAAAAUAUUAAACUCUUUUAACACAUUGUC
ensembl:ncRNA lncRNA:CR45576 long non-coding RNA:CR45576